UGGUGGAGUGAUUUGUCUGGUUAUUCCGUUAACGAACGAGACCUCGACCUGCUAAAUAGUUUGGCGAACUCUUCGGGGUUCGCGCUGACUUCUUAGAGGGACUAUCGGUGUGUAGCCGAUGGAAGUUCGAGGCAAUAACA
rnacentral:rRNA from 1 species